AGAAUCAACGCUGGCGGCGUGCCUAACACAUGCAAGUCGAACGAGAAAGUGGAGCAAUCCAUGAGUAAAGUGGCGCACGGGUGAGUAACACGUGACUAACCUACCCUUGAGUGGGGAAUAACUUCGGGAAACCGAGGCUAAUACCGCAUAACACCUACGGGUCAAGGGAGCAAUUCGCUUAAGGAGGGGGUCGCGGCAGAUUAGUUAGUUGGCGGGGUAAUGGCCCACCAAGACAGUGAUCUGUA
rnacentral:rRNA from 1 species